CCACGUCUGAGUGUAAGGAUAAAGUAGCCAUUAAGCGACUGACGCUGUUUUUGAGUUGUGUUCCCAGGAAUAUGUUGGCGUACAGGACAUGCCAGAGAGUCGGUGAACUGCCCCACUUGACGGCCAUCUGCACGAGCCACAAAAGAACGGAGCACUGCAAAAAAGAACUUCCUGAGGAGCGGGAGGAGGCCCCAAUGUCAUUUCUAUGACUGACAGCUCAUUUUUUCUGCAUUCGAAUGGCCGCCCUUGACAUGAAAUGGAUUUCCAAUUGAUGGGAAUUAAAGAGGCAGACGAGACCGUGGGAGAAAAAAGGCGGUUGGCCGAGUGGAGGCAAAGUGACUCAUCCUUGAACUGGAGCAGGGAAAGCGAUCGAUGGUGUCAAACCGAGAGGAGAAAGAUGUUCUCCCCUGAGAAGAGGGAGGUUGUGUUAGGAUGAAGAGCUCCCUAAAAACAAAAGUGAAAGGACACUU